AUACGUAGGUGACAAGCGUUAUCCGGAUUUACUGGGCGUAAAGGGCGUGUAGGCGGUCUUGCAAGUCAGAAGUGAAAUUCCUGAGCUCAACUCGGGCGCUGCUUCUGAAACUGCAGGACUUGAGUGCUGGAGGGGAUAGCGGAAUUCCUAGUGGAGCGGUAAAAUGCGCAGAUAUCAGGAAGAACACCGCAGGCGAGGGCGCAUUCCUGGUCUGGAACUGACUCUGAGCGGCGAACGUGUGGGGACCAGACAGGUAUAGACGCCCGGGCCUUCCACGCCGUAAACGAUGAAUACUAGGCGUAGGGGGUAUCGACCCCCUCUGUGCCGCAGUUAACACAAUAAGUAUUCCGCCUGGGGAGUACGGCCUCAAGGUUGAAACUCAAAGCAAUUGACGGGG
rnacentral:rRNA from 1 species